CCAGAUUUUUUUGUACUUCCCUCUUCCCAAACCCUAGCAGAAGCAAUCCGCUGACCUAUUUCUCCCUCCAUUGUGAACGUCUCACUCUCUGUCUCUUUCUCUGCUCUCACUUUCCCUUCAAACCCUAGCAGUUUUUCACCAUGCCUCAUACUUUGACGUCGUCAUCUCCACCGCAAAUUAUGAUAACAACAGCAUUUGGAUGACAUGAAGUGAAGGAAAUGGAAGACGAAGCUGCUGAUUUGUGAGAGAUACAGGCCAAAGUCGAGAAAGAUAUGGGAUUUGUGCAAGGACCGUUGUCGCCCCAUUGUCCUUCUCCUCUUGACGAACCCCAUACGUGUCGUCCUCCUAACUCCUCAACUCAAAAUCGCAAAGUCCAACUUCCAAGACUGCAAAAUCCUACUCAUCCCUUUCUGAUAUAACACUACAAUAUACUACGAUAUACGUACACACACUAACCAUGAUCCUCAAUAGUUAAAUCUCAAUCUUGUAACAGACCUGCAAGACACUUUCACAACCACUGCAGACUCCGAUCUUGUCGGUUUCGCGAGGCUUUUCUGUCUCAGAUGAAGCAUUACCUGGUUUGAGCGUCACUACAUCCAUAUAUGAGGUAGGUUUCAUCUGUGUUUUUGUAUAAAAGGAAAAAAAACGACAACUCUCAAAGGCAAUGGAGGACACUCUCAUCUAGGAUUUGUCCCAUCAACCAUUGUGAACCUUUUAGAAUCCAAGACACGUUUUGGAAACAACAUCAGGAUACUUUCCGAGGUUUAUCUGGUAUGUUCAUAACAAUUAACUAUAUUAAUAUGACAAUAUAUGUCUGUGAUAUUUGUUCAUUGGUUGGAUAUUGUCAAUUUUAGAGACAUAAUAGCAUUAAGACUUAUAUGUUUACUUUUAUAAGCCAUGAAAGUUUUCAAUCAAAUUAUGAGAAUAGUAAAACAGUGGCAAUUACGAAGGAAGGUGAGCAAGGCCUAAUGUCCAAAAUUCCAUGUAAAACAGUGUAAAGUUUUCAUUUACUGAAUGUUAGAAAUUUUUAUUUACUGAAAUCCUCAUGAAUUUUGGAAUAGAACAUUAAAUGCCUAAAUGGUGAGUGCAUUUGAAUAUCUUAUGGUAGAAUUAUCAUAAUAACCUUUGGACAUAUUCCAAUAACACCAUGGAAUAAUUUCAUGUCAUUAAUUUUUGGUUUUUACAGUUACUUUCUUUAUUAGCUUAUGCCCUUGAAUUUGGUUCAGCUGCUGCCCUGCUUUGACUGCAUUGUUGAGAAUGGGUUCGUGGCUUUCAGCUGAGGAGUUUCGUGUCAGUGUAAAUAAUUAUUUCAAUAAUAGUGUAAAUGUCCCUCCAAUGAUCGAGCUGUCCGUGUUAGCCUUCUCCAACAUAUUGAUCAAGUCGGAGUCAUUAUCAGCUCAAUAUAAUAUAUAAUCUACAGAUUCUUCCGACAAUUUCAAUUUCAUUAACAUCUAAUAAUCUUUGGUUAAUGUAUAGUAUAAUUUACAAAAUGAGGUACUACUUUGUUAAUAUUAUUGAAUUGUUAUUAUUAUUAUUAUUAUUAUUAUUAUUAUUAUUAUUAUUAUUCAAUUCAUGUUCCAAGAUUCAGAUUGAAGCUUAAUCUCUGCACCAUUUGAAGCUUUAAUCAGUGAACACUUUAUAUUUCCUUCGAUUCGUAUUAGUUUUGAAACAAACUUUAUCGAUCCAAAAAUCAAUAAGGUGUGACUUUUUAUGGAACUCAUGUUUACAGGUCCCAUUUUUUUUGUAUUGCAGAAGUUUAAACUGUGUAUGAAAAUGGAAGCUCCUCAAAUUGCCAUCAUAUCCUUAAGUGCACUUUUCAGUAGGCCGAAUUCUCUAACCAGCUUUAACAUGAAAGGAAUUAGCCCUUCAAUACUGACUUGGCUUGCUCAGAAUCAAGACAUCAACAACUUUGGUCCUGACGUUGAAAUUUUAUUUUAUUCUCCUUGCACGUGGAUCGAUGGCACGUUGGUGAUGAGACAGAAGGUUUUCUGUAGGUAUUGAUGCGAGGGACAAGCAUCUUGGUAUCCAUUUUCUUUGAGAGAAUUGGGGGACCUAACUGAUGCCACUAACACAAGUUCUGAAUUGAUUUUGGUGAUGAAAUAUGGUGGUUCAAAAUAUGGAUUGUAUGGAAAAUGAAUGCCUAUAGUGCACAUGAUAGCAACGUGACCGAAAAAUGACGGAUGAAGACGAAGCUUGAAGAUUAGAGGAGAAUUAUGUCUAGAGUCAAUGUUAGAAUUAGGUCCUGUAUAACUUUGAAAUUAGCUUAUUCUUGCAAUGUCUUUGUAGUCUAGAGAAAAUUGAAGUAAUGGCAUAAGUUGAAAAAUCAACUAUGUCUUCUUCUUGGUGCUUACUGUACAUAUGGGCCACUUGAUAUCGAACUCAGUAUACUCACUAUAUUAGCAGCUUGAAUUUGGUAUUGAACUUGGCGUGCCUUGAAUUAAUGACAUGAAUUAACUCUCUGUUU